rnacentral:rRNA from 1 species
UACGUAGGGUGCGAGCGUUGUCCGGAAUUACUGGGCGUAAAGAGCUCGUAGGCGGUUUGUCGCGUCGUCUGUGAAAACCAGCAGCUCAACUGCUGGCUUGCAGGCGAUACGGGCAGACUUGAGUACUGCAGGGGAGACUGGAAUUCCUGGUGUAGCGGUGAAAUGCGCAGAUAUCAGGAGGAACACCGGUGGCGAAGGCGGGUCUCUGGGCAGUAACUGACGCUGAGGAGCGAAAGCGUGGGUAGCGAACAGGAUUAGAUACCCUGGUAGUCCGCGCCGUAAACGGUGGGCGCUAGGUGUGGGUUUCCUUCCACGGGAUCCGUGCCGUAGCUAACGCAUUAAGCGCCCCGCCUGGGGAGUACGGCCGCAAGGCUAAA